rnacentral:rRNA from 1 species
UACGAAGGGUGCAAGCGUUACUCGGAAUUACUGGGCGUAAAGGGUGCGUAGGUGGUUUUUUAAGUCCGUUGUGAAAUCCCUGGGCUUAACCUGGGAAUGGCCGUCGAAACUGGCGAACUGGAGUGUGGCAGAGGGGGGUGGAAUUCCGCGUGUAGCAGUGAAAUGCGUAGAGAUGCGGAGGAACACCGAUGGCGAAGGCGGUUCUCUGGGCCUUACCUGACGCUGAGGAGCGAAAGCGUGGGGAGCGAACAGG